GUGUUUAUAUUUGUUCAAGCUUGACAACCUUAUCGCCUUUAUUUUCUAAUAUAUAUUUCUCAUUACAGAUAAGAACAAAGAUUAAAUUGUAAGAAGGGUUGCUUAUAUGAGAGCAUACAGUACAUCUGAAACUGCUGAGGCUGGGAAGGUUUUUGACUAUAUUACCGACCAGAUCAGCUGCUAUAGAAGACAAACUGAAAUCUGAGUGCAGAGACAAGCAAAGGAAUAUUUUUUUCUAAAGCUGCAAGGCUCUAGUGCAAAAUAUUGCAUGCCAGGAGUCAGGACGACUAGGCUGUGCCCAGGUCUCCGG